CCUUCACACGAGCGUUUGUCCAGUGUAGGCGUUCGAUGAACUUAUGCGCAGCGCAGACGCCGCGACAACUGAAACCCGCCGC